rnacentral:lncRNA from 1 species
GCAUGUAUCUUCUCCGUUUGGACUAUUUUUGAGCUUAUUGGAUUCUGUUUGUUAUUCUGAACCUUAUUCUGGGCUUAAUAUGGAUCGAAUCUCAAGAUAUUUUUUUCAAUAAGAUCAAUCUCGAUAGAUACCUGUAGAGGUCGAACACUUAUGCGGCUACAACGAAAUCUCGAAGACAUCUAUGGACCACCAGAUCGUGG